rnacentral:rRNA from 1 species
GUUAAGCGACUAAGCGUACACGGUGGAUGCCCUGGCAGUCAGAGGCGAUGAAGGACGUGCUAAUCUGCGAUAAGCGUCGGUAAGGUGAUAUGAACCGUUAUAACCGGCGAUUUCCGAAUGGGGAAACCCAGUGUGAUUCGUCACACUAUCAUUAACUGAAUCCAUAGGUUAAUGAGGCGAACCGGGGGAACUGAAACAUCUAAGUACCCCGAGGAAAAGAAAUCAACCGAGAUUCCCCCAGUAGCGGCGAGCGAACGGGGAGCAGCCCAGAGCCUGAAUCAGUGUGUGUGUUAGUGGAAGCGUCUGGAAAGGCGCGCGAUACAGGGUGACAGCCCCGUACACAAAAAUGCACAUGCUGUGAGCUCGAUGAGUAGGGCGGGACACGUGGUAUCCUGUCUGAAUAUGGGGGGACCAUCCUCCAAGGCUAAAUACUCCUGACUGACCGAUAGUGAACCAGUACCGUGAGGGAAAGGCGAAAAGAACCCCGGCGAGGGGAGUGAAAAAGAACCUGAAACCGUGUACGUACAAGCAGUGGGAGCACGCUUAGGCGUGUGACUGCGUACCUUUUGUAUAAUGGGUCAGCGACUUAUAUUCUGUAGCAAGGUUAACCGAAUAGGGGAGCCGAAGGGAAACCGAGUCUUAACUGGGCGUUAAGUUGCAGGGUAUAGACCCGAAACCCGGUGAUCUAGCCAUGGGCAGGUUGAAGGUUGGGUAACACUAACUGGAGGACCGAACCGACUAAUGUUGAAAAAUUAGCGGAUGACUUGUGGCUGGGGGUGAAAGGCCAAUCAAACCGGGAGAUAGCUGGUUCUCCCCGAAAGCUAUUUAGGUAGCGCCUCGUGAAUUCAUCUCCGGGGGUAGAGCACUGUUUCGGCAAGGGGGUCAUCCCGACUUACCAACCCGAUGCAAACUGCGAAUACCGGAGAAUGUUAUCACGGGAGACACACGGCGGGUGCUAACGUCCGUCGUGAAGAGGGAAACAACCCAGACCGCCAGCUAAGGUCCCAAAGUCAUGGUUAAGUGGGAAACGAUGUGGGAAGGCCCAGACAGCCAGGAUGUUGGCUUAGAAGCAGCCAUCAUUUAAAGAAAGCGUAAUAGCUCACUGGUCGAGUCGGCCUGCGCGGAAGAUGUAACGGGGCUAAACCAUGCACCGAAGCUGCGGCAGCGACGCUGAUGCGUUGUUGGGUAGGGGAGCGUUCUGUAAGCCUGCGAAGGUGUGCUGUGAGG